GGAAAUGUAUAUGACUAUUCAGUUGAUUCAAUGAAUAUCAAGGUGCAUGGAUGGUGAGGGGAGAUGUAAAUGACCAUUCGAAGGGUACAUUGCACCAAAGGGAACAUGCACAUUCAACAAAGGGGAUGAAAGUGACCAUUCAGUCAACACAAGAACCAACUUGGAUUCAUGAACGACUUUGGAUGCAUGUAGUUUCUUAAUGGCU
rnacentral:lncRNA from 1 species